rnacentral:rRNA from 1 species
UAGGGAAUCUUCGGCAAUGGGGGCAACCCUGACCGAGCAACGCCGCGUGAGUGAAGAAGGUUUUCGGAUCGUAAAGCUCUGUUGUAAGUCAAGAACGGGUGUGAGAGUGGAAAGUUCACACUGUGACGGUAGCUUACCAGAAAGGGACGGCUAACUACGUGCCAGCAGCCGCGGUAAUACGUAGGUCCCGAGCGUUGUCCGGAUUUAUUGAGCGUAAAGCGAGCGCAGGCGGUUUGAUAAGUCUGAAGUUAAAGGCUGUGGCUCAACCAUAGUUCGCUUUGGAAACUGUCAAACUUGAGUGCAGAAGGGGAGAGUGGAAUUCCAUGUGUAGCGGUGAAAUGCGUAGAUAUAUGGAGGAACACCGGUGGCGAAAGCGGCUCUCUGGUCUGUAACUGACGCUGAGGCUCGAAAGCGUGGGGAGCGAACAGG